GCUUUCCGCUGGACUCACGUGCCUUGUGGAGUCGUGAUGGGAUCCACCUGAGUGACGAUCUGGGGAUGCCGCUUCUCGCGAAGCUUCUGUGGCACUUCUCCUUUCGGCAGCUACAGUCACCUCUGCCUGUUACACCUCCGCCUGUGUCUCCUCCCAAGUCACCCCCGACUGUGAGACCCUUUGCUACCACCGUGGUUGUGAAGGGAGAGGUUUCACGUCCACGUACCCUUGACCCCUUCAAGGAAACUGUCGUCGGACGUCGCGGAAAGCGCAGCCAACCUGAGUCCUGGGAUGCGCCUGAGGACUGGGAUCAGUCUUCCGUGCGGAUCCUUCCUCAUGAGGUUUGUGUGCCUCCUCUGGUCCUGAGGGAGUGCUUUGUCGUGCUAAACCCUAUCCGGUUUAGCACUGACAAGUUGGCUGCAAUGGAUCGCAUU